CAGUCCAGGAUUUAGGGAUUACCCGGGUGUUUCUAAUGUGUUUAGAAAAAGAAAAAAAAGUGUUUUAGUUUUUUGGUUGUUUUUUUUAAACACAUUAGAAACACCUGGGUAAUCCCUAAAUCCUGGACGG